UGCGCCCUAUCCACUCCUCCACAUCCAGCCCUGCCAUCUCCAUCCACGAGGUGGGCCAUACCGGAGUCACCAAAACUGAGAGGAGUGGCAUUAACAGACUGAGGAGUGAAAUGAAACAGAUGACUAGGCGGUUUAGUGCUGAUGAACAGUUCUUUUCUGUGGGCCAGGCCGCGUUCAGCAGUGCGCAUUCCUCCAAGUCUGCGAGGUCCAGCACCCCAUCCUCGCCCACUGGCACGUCAUCCUCAGACUCUGGAGGACAUCACAUCGGCUGGGGUGAGCGGCAGGGCCAGUGGCUGCGCAGGAGAAGGCUGGACGGGGCCAUCAACAGGGUCCCCGUGGGAUUCUACCAGAGGGUGUGGAAGAUCCUCCAGAAGUGCCACGGUCUCUCCAUCGAUGGUUAUGUCCUCCCAUCCUCGACGACCCGAGAGAUGACCCCGCAUGAGAUCAAGUUUGCUGUCCAUGUCGAAUCGGUGCUGAACCGCGUGCCACAGCCCGAGUACCGGCAGCUGCUGGUGGAAGCCAUCAUGGUGCUGACGCUGCUCUCAGACACGGAGAUGACCAGCAUCGGGGGCAUCAUCCACGUGGACCAGAUCGUGCAGAUGGCCAGUCAGCUGUUCUUGCAGGACCAGGUGGGGGUGCCAGGGAGCUGGGUUGGCUGGCAUUUAUCUCUGUUGAGGCUGGAGAUUGUGUCCAAUAGGAAAGAAUAUACUCGAACCAAGAAAAUGUCAUCACAGAUGGGGAAAAAA
rnacentral:sRNA from 1 species